rnacentral:rRNA from 1 species
UGGGGAAUUUUGGACAAUGGGGGCAACCCUGAUCCAGCAAUGCCGCGUGUGUGAAGAAGGCCUUCGGGUUGUAAAGCACUUUUGUCCGGAAAGAAAUCGCCCUGGCUAAUAUCCGGGGUGGAUGACGGUACUGGAAGAAUAAGCACCGGCUAACUACGUGCCAGCAGCCGCGGUAAUACGUAGGGUGCGAGCGUUAAUCGGAAUUACUGGGCGUAAAGCGUGCGCAGGCGGUUGUGCAAGACAGAUGUGAAAUCCCCGGGGCUUAACCUGGGAAUGGCAUUUGUGACUGCACGGCUAGAGUGUGUCAGAGGGGGGUAGAAUUCCACGUGUAGCAGUGAAAUGCGUAGAUAUGUGGAGGAACACCGAUGGCGAAGGCAGCCCCCUGGGAUAACACUGACGCUCAUGCACGAAAGCGUGGGGAGCAAACAGGAUUAGAUACCCUGGUAGUCCACGCCCUAAAGNGAUGUCAACUAGUUGUCGGGUCUUAAUUGACUUGGU